rnacentral:rRNA from 1 species
AGUGAACGCUGGCGAUAGGCCUAACACAUGCAAGUCGAACGGCAGCACAGUAAGAGCUUGCUCUUACGGGUGGCGAGUGGCGGGCGGGUGAGGAAUACAUCGGAAUCUACUUUUUCGUGGGGGAUAACGUAGGGAAACUUACGCUAAUACCGCAUACGACCUACGGGUGAAAGCAGGGGAUCUUCGGACCUUGCGCGAUUGAAUGAGCCGAUGUCGGAUUAGCUAGUUGGCGGGGUAAAGGCCCACCAAGGCGACGAUCCGUAGCUGGUCUGAGAGGAUGAUCAGCCACACUGGAACUGAGACACGGUCCAGACUCCUACGGGAGGCAGCAGUGGGGAAUAUUGGACAAUGGGCGCAAGCCUGAUCCAGCCAUACCGCGUGGGCGAAGAAGGCCUUCGGGUUGUAAAGCCCUUUUGUUGGGAAAGAAAAGCAGCAGGUUAAUACCCCGCUGUUCUGACGGUACCCAAAGAAUAAGCACCGGCUAACUUCGUG